CACUUCUUCGCAGCAGGUUUCCGAUAUUAUUUGAGCUUAUUCGGUGACUUGGGAGGUUGGUUCAGAAGGUGUUCUAACUUGAGCGAGAGUGCGAACGAACCUUGGAUCGUCGUUAGCUGACUUGUGGGAACUCUUGGAGACAUAUCUUGAGCAGGAUUGGAGACUUGUGGAGUUGAUCCUUGGGACUAUUUGGAGCCUAG